rnacentral:rRNA from 1 species
AACGAACGCUGGCGGCAUGCCUAACACAUGCAAGUCGAACGAUUGCCUUCGGGUGAUAGUGGCGCACGGGUGCGUAACGCGUGGGAAUCUGCCCUUAGGUUCGGAAUAACAGCUGGAAGCGGCUGCUAAUACCGGAUGAUAUCGCGAGAUCAAAGAUUUAUCGCCUGAGGAUGAGCCCGCGUUGGAUUAGGUAGUUGGUGGGGUAAAGGCCUACCAAGCCGACGAUCCAUAGCUGGUCUGAGAGGAUGAUCAGCCACACUGGGACUGAGACACGGCCCAGACUCCUACGGGAGGCAGCAGUGGGGAAUAUUGGACAAUGGCGCAAGCCUGAUCCAGCAAUGCCGCGUGAGUGAUGAAGGCCCUAGGGUUGUAAAGCUCUUUUACCCGGGAAGAUAAUGACUGUACCGGGAGAAUAAGCCCCGGCUAACUCCGUG